rnacentral:misc_RNA from 1 species
AACCAUAGAAACCUGCGGAGUACCUGCGGAAGGAUCAUUACAGAGUUGCAAGACUCCCUAAACCAUUGUGAACCUACCUUCUACCGUUGCUUCGGCGGGCGGGCCCAGCGCCCCCCCCGGCCCCCCGCGGGCGCCCGCCGGAGGAUACCCAAACUCUUGACAUUAGUGGCCUCUCUGAGUAUUCUUUACUGAAUAAGUCAAAACUUUCAACAAUGGAUCU